GACAGAGGGUGCAAGCGUUGUUCGGAUUUACUGGGCGUAAAGGGCGCGUAGGCGGUCGUGACAAGUCACUUGUGAAAACUCUCCGGGCUUAACUCGGGAACGGUCAAGUGAUACUGUCGGACUAGAGUACAGAAGGGGGCAACUGGAAUUCUCGGUGUAGCGGUGAAAUUCGUAGAUAUCGGGAGGAACACCGGUGGCGAAGGCGGCGACCUGGGUAGAUACUGACGCUGAGGCGGCGAAAAGCGUGGGGAGCAAACAGG
rnacentral:rRNA from 1 species